AUUUAAUGUUUAUGUGGCAGAUUAGUCAGAUCCUCCCUGUAGUGACGUCAUGUUAUUGGUAGCCUAUCUCCCCGCAGGGAGGUGUGUUUAAAUGGCUGUUUGGUGCGGGCCGGAGGUGCGUCAUCUGUUCUGUGCCUGCGCUCUUCCUGUUUACCGGCAUUCAACAGAGGUCUGUGGUUAAAACACAGCCGUUUGGGCAUUUUAACACCGCUUGUGUUAUUUCUGUGGGGCUUUGCGUGCACUGGAGAGUCUAUUGUAAACAACCGUUACGUGCGGUCUGGCUCGUUACACUGCCUAGUCCCAGCAUUCCCGUGUGUUUACCGGUUGAGUGGGGAUAUCCAAUAUAUGCUGUUUGGCAUCUACUUCAUUUCUAUCCCGUGGAUACUGACGUCAGCUCUGCUUUCUGGUGUGGCGAACGGCUGCGUUAUUUGGGCUAAGACUGGGCGUGCUGCAUUUCCCUACUACAUAUAGAAGCACGCUGCUGUUUUGUUCCUGCUGGAUUUGCUUUCGUUUCUUUUCUGUAUAUUUUUGCUGUGUGUUUUCAUCAUUUUGUUCUGGGUGAUUUAGCGCGGCCCGAUUUUGGAGUUGUUGGUUAAAACCUGCUCCUACUGUGACUGUAUUUUGAAGAUCUUUUCCUCGUACGUUGGGAAAUAACGAGUUCGAGGGCCGCGCUCAUUCAGAUAUUUAUUUCUUCAUUUGCCCUUUGUGGUGUUUCUCAUUUUGGACUGGUUCAGAAUGCUGAGAUUUUCUCUUGGACAUUGUUGUCUUUAAAUUUAUUUUUCCUUUUCCUUUUGUGUUAUUAUCUAGCUGUUUAAGCUAGAAUUUAUUUCUUUUCUUUAUGUUGGAAGGGUUUCUUUUGCUCCCCUGCAUUUAAGUUUUUAUUGAUUAAUUUUUAUUAAUUUGAUUUAUUUUGGUUUGUAUUACAAUUACAGGAGCUGUGUGUCCGACGGCAGUGAGGCUUUCCUUCACCGUGUGCUGUGUUAUGCUGUGUGAGCACCACUGAUAAAAUCACGGGAACAAGACAGCAGCGUAGACUCUUUGAAGGGUCUCUUUGGCUACCUCCCCUGAUUGUGUUUCAGGUCCAAAUUUCUUUCUGCCCCGCCUUGCUUGGUGGAGCUGUGUGUCCGACGGCAGUGAGGCUUUCCUUCACCGUGUGCUGUGUUAUGCUGUGUGAGCACCACUGAUAAAAUCACGGGUAUUGGAGAGAGUGUGUGUGUGUGUGUGUGCACUUAGUGUGAUUUUCCUCUUUUGCUCCCUCUCUUAGCCCAUUUGAUGCCAAUAGGCCACAGCUCCGAAGUAAUUGUGAAUCCUUAUUGUGGAUUGUGAUUUCCAGUUUAGUAAUUGGCUGGGUGACUAUUCCUGCAUUUUAAACUUUUGUACUAAUAAACAAACUCUAUUUUGCUA